GUCACAAGCAGAGAGUGUGCAGUGCGGGGGAGCAGGAGGCAUCCUGUGCUGAAGGUCAGAAAGCCUGACUGUCCACCUGCCCACCGUGCGGCCCUGGGAAGUCACUUCACCACACAACGCGCGGUAUAGUGACUGCCAGACUAAUAAAUACAAUUUACAGUAUGUGCCGACGUGCUAUGUGUUAUGGCAGGAAGACACACAUGGAAGCCAAGAAGUCAGACUUCCAGGAGUCUCGAAUCUGAAGAAAUUUCCAAACAGUUUUGGACAACUAAUAACUAUGGCAAAGCCACAUGCGCCAUGAGAGAGGCCGUCGGGCUCUCUAAUCCACAGGUCACCCAUAGUUCCAACAGCUCUCUCCAUUCUGCC